UCUUGGUCAUUUAGAGGAAGUAAAAGUCGUAACAAGGUUUCCGUAGGUGAACCUGCGGAAGGAUCAUUAAAGAGAUAGGGUCUUCAUGGCCCGACCUCCAACCCUCUGUUGUUAAAACUACCUUGUUGCUUUGGCGGGACCGUCUCGGUCUCCGAGCGCACUAACCCUCGGGUUGGUGAGCGCCCGCCAGAGUCCAACCAAACUCUUGUAUUAAACCAGUCGUCUGAGUAUAAAAUUUUAAUUAAAUUAAAACUUUCAACAACGGAUCUCUUGGUUCUCGCAUCGAUGAAGAACGCAGCGAAAUGCGAUAAGUAAUGUGAAUUGCAGAAUUCAGUGAAUCAUCGAAUCUUUGAACGCACAUUGCGCCCCUUGGUAUUCCGAGGGGCAUGCCUGUUCGAGCGUCAUUACACCACUCAAGCAUCGCUUGGUAUUGGGAACGGUCCGUCGAAAGGCGGGCCUUCCUCGAAGACCUCGGCGGGGUUCAACCAACUUCGGGCGUAGUAGAGUUAAAUCGAACGUCUUAUAAGCUUGGUCGGAUCUCAUUGCCGUUAAACCUUUAAAUUUUCUAGGUUGACCUCGGAUCAGGUAGGGAUACCCGCUGAACUUAAGCAUAUCAAU
rnacentral:rRNA from 1 species